rnacentral:lncRNA from 1 species
UUCGAUUUCACAGCAAAAGAAAGCAAUGACAUUGUUCCAUGUCAUGGGCAUAAUAGGGAGCGAGAGGCAACGGCCAGGCUGGGAUAAGGCUAGAGAAUAAGAUUGAGACGAACUGGGAUAAGGUUAGAGAAUAAGAUUGAAAUGGGAGAAUUGUGGAGAGUUGGUUAGCAUCAGAUAAGUCCAAGAAAGUAGGAGUUAGUUGAGAGUUUGUAGGGGAAGUUGGUUAGCCAUAGGGCUAUUUAUAAGCCGCAUGGCAGCAGGGAAUAAAUCAAGCAAGAUCAUUAACAAACCAAUCUCUCUCCCUUGCAAUGACCCUCUCAAGCGCCUAGGGCUGCUACCCUAGAACCAAGCCUGCGGCAGAGGGGUAUAACCUCGCCGGAGAAGACAGCUAUCCCCAUGGACCGAAGGUCUAUGACACCUGGUAUCAGCUCCAGGUUAUCCUCACCACCAUCAGCCGCCCAUCCCUCACCACCACCAGCCGCAGCGCCAUCUGCCGCCGCAACGCCCUCCCACCCGCCCUCUCCAACUCCAGAUGCAUUCACUCGGCUCGAAGAGAAGUGGGAUCAAUUCGUUGUGAUGUUCCACCGCUACAAGGAGAAGACAGAGAAGGAACUCCAAGCAGCGGUGCGGCUUCAGGCGGCUGCGCGAGGGUUCCUGGCACGCCGCCAGGUAUAGUCCCUUCGUGGGGAGAAGCACCUUGUUGUGGCCUCCAGGGCCACCCCAUUGGCCGUCAUCACAUGAGUAGGCCGUGGUGCGCCUGCAAGCCACAGUGCGCGGCUUCCUUGUUAGGCGGGCGGUGCGGAAGCUGCACUUGCUGAUCAGCUCAUCGCUGCACCAACUCGUAGCCUGCGCGUCCAACCACCAGGUCUCGUCUAUACUUUUUGAACCCCCUGCAGAAGUCGAGAUCUGGGUAUGCAGCCCCCCUGCACGGCCAAAGAGGGUCGUCUCCCUCAUUCGGGCAACUUCCUUGGUGCUGGACAGACCCAAGGGCUGGUUCCUCCUUCACCUUUCAUCCAACGUGAAGUCCGCAGUUCAGCUCUUUCCUUGGGAUCCAGGAGGACAGGAGGACAUAGUUGCAGUUCAAAUUUAUAUUUUAGUUCCACAAUUAUUUUGUAUUUUCGUCUUAAAUAAUAAAGGUAAGCCGAGAUGUAAAAGGCUUAACCUUAAGUCGUGUCAGGUAAGUCUAUGGCAGCUCGAGGACGAGCUGGUCCUCAAGGGAGGGGGAGAUGUCAUGGGCAUAAUAGGGAGCGAGAGGCAACGGCCAGGCUGGGAUAAGGCUAGAGAAUAAGAUUGAGAUGAACUGGGAUAAGGUUAGAGAAUAAGAUUGAAAUGGGAGAAUUGUGGAGAGUUGGUUAGCAUCAGAUAAGUCCAAGAAAGUAGGAGUUAGUUGAGAGUUUGUAGGAGAAGUUGGUUAGCCAU